ACGAUUUAUCCCUCUGGUUUGAGCAAAACAAGAUAGUUAAAGAGAUUUUAUUUGUCACUCGUGUCCUACGUUCUGAAAGAAAAUCCCAUUGGUUCUUCUAAACCGCUCGGCAAUAGAUUCAGAAAGUAGGACAUGCGACUGUUGGGAUCGGAUGCAUUUACGCGGAGGUCAAAUUCUUUACAAAGAGCAUGUACUUGUUACUCUUGCCAGUUUCUGGUUUUUGAACUAGCCAAAGCAUCUGCAUUUUAUGAACUACCUAUGAUGAUUUCCUGCUGAUUAUAGUAGUUGGUAUUCUUUAUAAAAUUCAGGUGAAAAAUAGAGUCGAUUACAAGAAUGUGAUUGAUUGUACAGUGUGCUAAUAUGAAGUAAAUGGCUGUUAUUUCCUUUUCUUCUAUGGCUGGACUAGUAUGUCUGCAUUAUGUAAUAAUCUUUGCCUCAGAACAAUUGAAGGACAUCUGAGUAGAUCAUGCUGGCUAUGCUCUUGACCUGGACCAUAAUAGCUUUAACAGAGAACCUACUCGGUGCAAGCACAAUGGCUCUUUCUCAUCAUCUAGUCCUGAACAUCACAUUUCCUGUAAGCUGAGCAGAGAGUGCGUGACGAAAGUGAGAAGCUGAGGCAGCAAGAGCAUGAGCAAAUUGCAGA